rnacentral:lncRNA from 1 species
GAUGAAUUCAAAAGUGAUUGCGCAUACUGCUGAUCAACAUGUGUCUUCUGACCGGAUCCUGAGCGUAGACUCCUAAAUUUUCAGUCUUGAGAGAAGAAUGGUCACUAGCGUCUCUAACUGAGAGGGAAAAUGACUGACCAUUGGUUGAGUGUGUGCGUGGAGGGGAACAGAUGGAUGAACUGAUCCAGCGACUCCCAGGCUGAAAGAACUGAAUGUUCAAUGGUGUACUUAUAGACCACAUUAACUUCUUGGCAAGUGCUGCUGCUGCACAUGUGGGUGGUCCAUCGCUGAAUAUGAAUGUGCUGAAUAUCAUUUGGGCAAGGAGCAAGAGGUGUUCAAGUGAGUUGGAGAGAAGCCCAGAAGGUAUGCUGUUUAUCUUCUAGGAACAUUUAUUUUCUGCAAAACAUAUAACUUGAGUUAAUAAAGUAGAUUUAGAUGUGAAUAAAGGAAACCGGUUAUUGAACCUGCAUCACUGUGCCUCUCCAGGAAUAACUAAAAGUUUUGAAUUUGAAUCCUAGAACAAGAAAAAGAAUAGAGCACAAAUAACUGCUCUUAUCACCUUGCAAGGAAUCACUGGACUGGA